rnacentral:lncRNA from 1 species
GAACACUGUUUCCACCAAUUGUAAUUGUGAAUUCGACUACAUCUUAGUCCACAUUCAAAAGCACGAAAUCGACAAUCUCAACGAUCCAGAGUUUAAGAAAAACGCGAAUUGGCUGCAAAUGCUGACGGCGUUGAUCGAGGAUCACCAGGAUUACGAGGGCAAGGAAGCGAAGGUUCAGUUGAGCGCAUGGAUGCGAGAAAGGGAUAAUCUACGCAACGAUAUCAAACGCGUAUUCAACCAACAGUUUGGUUCAGUCUUUAGGACGUACCAUAAUCCGACCUACUUUUCUAGGCGUCUCUUUCGUUUCGCGGACAUCUACAUGAGCAACAUUACCAACCUCUUAAACUAUUCGACCACUCACACCUUUUACCCGAGGAGAGGAGUCAUGCCCCAUGAAUACACUAUUUCGUAUAAACCGUGCGCAAACCGAGCCAAAACCAUCAUGCGGUAUAAAAUAUGCGUUACGAAAUUGAUCUCGAAAUAUUUGGGACUAACGCAUCGUAUUUUAUUCUUUCCCAAAAAAAGAAAAAAAAAGAUAAUCAAAAUUCAAACGUAUUGAGAAAACAGAAAGAAAAUAAGCAUCUUAGUUUCCUUCCUUUCAGAUUACAAUUUAAGAUCGACCUCACACUAUUAAUACGCUUAAAUUUAUCCGUAAGAAGUUGACGAAAUUUAAUAGUUUUUAACUUUUCUUGGUAGUUAGAUCGGUACAAUUUUCCUUAAUUGUAGUUUAUUUUUCCCCAGUAGUAGAAACGUUGCGUGAAAUUCAAAUCCUGUGGGGAAAUUCAAUAGCUUAUUUCGUAGCGCUACAGUUUGUUCAAGUUUAUCGAUAGAAAUACCUAGGAAUGUCAAGAUUUACUUUUACGUUGAAAAUGUUGCCAAAGCUUAAGUUGAGUUAUAGCUUAUUACGAUUAAGAACUAAUUGAAUGAUCGAUCGAUAUAUACAAUAAGUUGACGCUACGUUAUUCUGAAACGAAUCGUACUCUUAUCGUUGAACGUUUGCAAGUACAAAUAGAUAUGUAAUGCCCCCGAGUAACAUCGGGAUAUCUCAAUCAAUCUGAUCGAAUAGAUAAUUACAAUUGAAAGAUAUAAACGUACGAGUAUUAGCAAUGAUCGGGUAAAAUAUUCGUCAGAUAUUAAUUUAUUUAGCUAGAAUUUACCAUGAGUAAAAAAAAUGAUAAAAAUUUUAUUUGUAAUGCGCGAAGUGAACGAUGUUUCCGGAUAUUAACUGAAAUCGCAGUAUCUGAUUUUUGAUUUAUUCAUAAAAAAGUAACAUUACACACGUAUUGUAAUUACAAAUGAAGGCACGCGAAGUUAAGGAUAAUAACCAGGAGUUCCAGACAUUUUUCUAUCGGUUGUCAGGCUAUUACCGGUUUCUAGAGUCUGUUGACAUCUUGUCAUUAUUACAUCAAUGCCAAAAUUUGAGUUUAGUAAUAAUUAUGAACAAUAUGAAAUUAAAAAAUUACAAUACUGCGUUCUUUUCCGUGUCUCGAUAUCAUCACUUGGCUUGAAUAGUUGCGUAUCUCAUGCCAAAUUUCAAACGUAAGAUAACCGUUACUCGUAGAUACUUAAAAAAUGUUGAAGCGAGUCAUUAUGCAUGUUACAUACGUACUAUAAGAAAAAUUACGACAUACCUAAUCGAAUACAAAAUGUGUUUGUGUGCAACGUGUCUUCUAUACCAAACGCACGAGUACAAGUUGUAUAUUCAGUUCAGACCACAUUCGGUUUUUGACAAUACUUUGCAGCUCUAAAUAUUUAUCAGAGUUUUCAGUUUGCGGAAUCUAUUUUUAUUGUGACUAAAUUGUGCGGGAGUCUGAGUCGAAUAACCAGAUUGUAUCCUUGUAAAAUCCUUACCUAAUCACUAUAGGUACUAUGUGCAUAUAAUAAAAUGUAACCACCAUCGCGGGAUAAGUUUUAUCGUCGGAACACUGCCUGGGAUGAAUAACAAUCCGAAUGAUGAGAUUAAUUAC